rnacentral:rRNA from 1 species
UACUAGAGUAGCACUCGCAUAUCAAUAAGCGGAGGAAAAGAAACUAACAAGGAUUCCCCUAGUAACGGCGAGUGAAGCGGGAAGAGCUCAAAUUUGAAAUCUUAAAGGGUUUCCCUUUACGAAUUGUAGUUUAAAGAAGUGUUUUCUGUUGAGGUUUUGGUAAAAGUUCUUUGGAAUAGGACAUCAUAGAGGGUGAGAAUCCCGUAUUUGACCUUUACUUUCAACUUUGUGAUACACUUUCAAAGAGUCGGAUUGUUUGGGAAUGCAGUCCAAAAUGGGUGGUAAAUUUCAUCUAAAGCUAAAUAUUGGCGAGAGACCGAUAGCGAACAAGUACCGUGAGGGAAAGAUGAAAAGAACUUUGAAAAGAGAGUUAAACAAUACGUGAAAUUGUCAAAAGGGAAGCGUUUGACACCAGUGUUGUUUUUCUGAAAAUCAAUUAAAGAACUGUUUAUGCUAAGCUGUUUAGACUUUAUCAGCUAUCUGUUUAGUUUUGAGCUUUUCUUUAAUGCACUUUUCAGUUAACAAGUCAACAUCAAUUUCUUUUGCUGUAAAAAAGCUUGAGGAAGGUGGCUUGAGAUUCGUCUUAAGUGUUUAUAGCCUCUUGCCUAUGCAGUCGGAGAGAUUGAGGUCUGCAGCGUAGAUCCUUCGGGGCUAAAUGCAUUUGUGCUGAGUUAUAGCAUUUUCAUAGACAACUUGUUGACUAUGAUUUGUCUUGUAGCUUACUCGCUUAUGUUAUUUUACCUACGCUUAGGAUGUUGACACACGCGCGUGCUCGGCUCUAUACAUGACUCUGUGCAUAUCAAUAAGCGGAGGAAAAGCGCAUUAAAGAUCCAGAUACCUACGCUUAGGAUGUUGAGUCAUCACACAUCUCU